rnacentral:lncRNA from 1 species
GCCAACAAUGAAAUGGUUGUAAUAAAUUAUAAUUUAUUCUUAAAAACAGGAUAUGUCAUUAAGCUUUAGAUACAAUCCAUCAACAUAUAUAAUAUAUAUAAAGUUGGGUGGAGGAAACAUUUGAGAGACAAUUAUUAUUCGUGAAAUGUAAAAUUUCAUAACUCUGAUUUAUUAGCUAAGAAAAUGAGAGAAAGAGUUGGUAUAUUGAGUAAGUCAAGGAAAAGGUGCCCUCAACUUGAUCUCAGUCUGGUCGAUGUCAAUCGCAAAUCCUUUGCCAUGCUGCUUCCAGUAGUCAGCCAAGGGGUUGAUCAUCUCGGGUUCAGGAAUCUCUACCCUUGAACUUUUCAGGCUCUCUGAGGAAAUACUGUACUUGGCAUCCCUCUCAUGCACCAGCUCUGCCCUCACCAAACCAGGACUUACUGCUUGUGGAGACAUCAUCAGCGCAGGUGCACCCAUAGGAAGCCUGUCCCCUGCAUUUGUAAUUUUCAUCAACUAACCAAGAUCAUACCAUUACUUUUACUCCAACAUACUCGUGCAAAUACUUCAAAUUUUCUAUUAUAAAUACUGUAACUUAAAAAACACUCAAAAGAUGACCAAAUUGUUUCCAUGUAUGCGUACCUCUGUCAGCCUGCCAUGUACACCAGAACUUGCCGUAAGUUUUGGCUAGGUUUUCGAGGUCCGGUUUCCCAAUAAGCUCUGGAACUCUGGGGUUCACCAAGAGACCCGAUUUGACCUGCACGGUCCAAAUCAUCAUUUAAAUUUUCAAUUCCAAAUAGAAAACAAAAACACAUGACAAGCAAAGGAAAAGAUCAGAAUAAAAACCUCAUAAGCAUGAGAAUGCCAAAGUUUCUGUUCCUCCGGUGGCAUAGUUUCAAAGAUAUCAUCAGAAACAAUAUACUCCACACCUAUCAAGCACACAACCAAAACAUUAAACAAAUAAGUUAUUGAGUUUUGAGAAAAUCGAAACAAAAAGAGAGAGAAAACAAGAAGACCAAGAAGACGAGCAUCGGAUUCAUCGGAAUCGUAGACGGCGCAUUGGAUGAAAUUUUGGUGGAGUCUGGAGCAGUAGUGGUGAGUCUCUAUCUGGCGAGCCAUGUCGUGGCUAUAGAUGGCGAAGGAACACGAGUGGUGACUAAUCUGCUUUAUGGGCUCCAGUGACUGUAUCAUCAUUGCACUCUUGUCGAUCAUGUGCUGUCCCACUCCCAUCUCCUUUCCCGGAGUUGGUUCCGGACCCUUCGCCGGAGUCGGUUCCGGUGACUUGUCCGUGGAGGCCAUUAACUAUUGCAAGUUUAAGUCAAUCUCCUCUCUAGAGCGUGUGGAAUAUCAUUCCCUCAUGACUCGUAUAUAUAAGCCGA